GUCGCCUAGGGGCGCAGCAGUGAGGAAUAUUGGUCAAUGGGCGCAGGCCUGAACCAGCCAAGUAGCGUGAAGGAUGACUGCCCUAUGGGUUGUAAACUUCUUUUAUAUGGGAAUAAAGUUUUCCACGUGUGGAAUUUUGUAUGUACCAUAUGAAUAAGGAUCGGCUAACUCCGUGCCAGCAGCCGCGGUAAUACGGAGGAUCCGAGCGUUAUCCGGAUUUAUUGGGUUUAAAGGGAGCGUACGUGGACAGUUAAGUCAGUUGUGAAGGUUUGCGGCUCAACCGUAAAAUUGCAAUUGAUACUGGC
rnacentral:rRNA from 1 species